CAGGACGAACGCUGGCGGCGUGCCUAAUACAUGCAAGUCGAGCGAAGUUUUUCUGGUGCUUGCACUAGAAAAACUUAGCGGCGAACGGGUGAGUAACACGUAAAGAACCUGCCUCAUAGACUGGGACAACUAUUGGAAACGAUAGCUAAUACCGGAUAACAGUAUUUCUCGCAUGAGAGAUAUUUAAAAGUUGGUUAUGCUAACACUAUGAGAUGGCUUUGCGGUGCAUUAGCUAGUUGGUGGGGUAAAGGCCCACCAAGGCGACGAUGCAUAGCCGACCUGAGAGGGUGAUCGGCCACACUGGGACUGAGACACGGCCCAGACUCCUACGGGAGGCAGCAGUAGGGAAUCUUCCGCAAUGGGCGAAAGCCUGACGGAGCAACGCCGCGUGAGUGAAGAAGGAUUUCGGUUCGUAAAGCUCUGUUGUUAGGGAAGAAUGGAUAUGUAGUAACUAUACAUAUAAGAGACGGUACCUAACCAGAAAGCCACGGCUAACUACGUGCCAGCAGCCGCGGUAAUACGUAGGUGGCAAGCGUUGUCCGGAAUUAUUGGGCGUAAAGCGCGCGCAGGUGGUUUAAUAAGUCUGAUGUGAAAGCCCACGACUCAACCGUGGAGGGUCAUUGGAAACUGUUAAACUUGAGUGCAGGAGAGAAAAGUGGAAUUCCUAGUGUAGCGGUGAAAUGCGUAGAGAUUAGGAGGAACACCAGUGGCGAAGG
rnacentral:rRNA from 1 species